rnacentral:lncRNA from 1 species
UCUGGAUCCUGUUUCUCCAUAAUAUGGAGUUUUGCUCUCCUAAAGUGGGGGCUGAGUGCAGCUGCCUUGUGUGCUGUUGGGUCUGCUGACAAUUAUUUGGGGAUUAUGACCGGCUCAUGGGUGGGCCUUCUAUAUACUGAUGUUUUUGGUUUGGUGUUUUUCAGUUCGAUGUUAAUGUCUAAGAAAUAUAUAUAGAUUACAAUAUAUAAAAUAUAGACUACAGUUGCUAAUCUGUUUUCUUUUAAGCAUGAGGCUGUAUCCACAGCGGCUUUUAGUUUUCUAUGGUAAGGUCCUUGAGAGCUAAUUUUGGUUGUGUGGUCUGGAUAUAGUCUUGCAGGAACUGAUCCUGUUUCUCUCUUUCUAAUAAAACACUUUUUCUCUGUUUGUCUGUUCUAGUAAUAGUGUAAUCAUUCUCCUUGAUCCAUUGGAAGUGGAGAGCAAUGUAUUACAUGGAUAACAUCCUUAGAGUAUGGAAGAACAAGACUAAGAUAGAAAAGCUCGCAGAGGCACUAACACUCAAGCCGUACGGCCUCAUGCUUAAAAGAGAACAGAUUAGCAACUGUAAUAUACAUUUCUUGGAUGUUGACAUCGAGCUGAAAAAUGCCAGGCUGGAAACGUCAGUGUGUGGAGGACCCGCUUAUGAGCCGGUCAUGAUCCCUAAAUGUUCAGCAGACUCAGCAGCAUGCACGGCGGCUGCAUUCAGUUUUUGCUUUGGGAGGGCGGGGCUCU